rnacentral:rRNA from 1 species
CCUACGGGAGGCAGCAGUGGGGAAUAUUGGACAAUGGGGGCAACCCUGAUCCAGCCAUGCCGCGUGUGUGAAGAAGGCCCUCGGGUUGUAAAGCACUUUCAGUGAGGAAGAACGCCUGGUGGUUAAUACCCAUCAGGAAAGACAUCACUCACAGAAGAAGCACCGGCUAACUCCGUGCCAGCAGCCGCGGUAAUACGGAGGGUGCGAGCGUUAAUCGGAAUUACUGGGCGUAAAGCGCGCGUAGGUGGCUUGAUAAGCCGGUUGUGAAAGCCCCGGGCUCAACCUGGGAACGGCAUCCGGAACUGUCAAGCUAGAGUGCAGGAGAGGAAGGUAGAAUUCCCGGUGUAUCGGUGAAAUGCGUAGAGAUCGGGAGGAAUACCAGUGGCGAAGGCGGCCUUCUGGACUGACACUGACACUGAGGUGCGAAAGCGUGGGUAGCAAACAGGAUUAGAUACCCUUGUAGUC